rnacentral:rRNA from 1 species
GACGAACGCUGGCGGCGUGCCUAAUACAUGCAAGUAGGACGCAGUUGCGAACGUGUUGGUAACGCGUCGGUCACUACCUAUUAGAGGGGGAUAACUAUUGGAAACGAUAGCUCAUACCGCCUACUAGUAGAUUGACCUGCGUUGUAUUAGCUAGUAGGUAGGGUAAUGGCCUACCUAGGCAACGAUACAUAGCCGACCUGAGAGGAUGAUCGGCCACACUGGGACUGAGACACGGCCCAGACUCCUACGGGAGGCAGCAGUAGGGAAUAUUGGACAAUGGGCGAAAGCCUGAUCCAGCCAUGCCGCGUGUGUGAAGAAGGUCUUCGGAUUGUAAAGCACUUUAAGUUGGGAGGCGUUACCAACAGAAUAAGCACCGGCUAACUUCGUGCCAGCAGCCGCGGUAAUAC